CUGUAACUCUCUGGUACAGCCAUUGCUAUAAUCUAUCUUCAGAACCCUUUUCAGCUUGAAAAUUUGCCCAUUAAACAAUCUCUCCCCAUCCCCACCUCCUCAGAGCCCCUGGAAGCUACCAUCCUAUUUAUUGGUUAGUCCAUUGUGGAUUGACUAGUCCAUGAAUAUAAGAGCAAUUGCACAGUACUUUUUCUUUGGUAACUGGCCUGUUUCACUAUGAAAACAUCCUCAGGGUUCGUUUAUGUUAUAUCAAGGACCAGCAUUUCUUUCCCUUUUAGGCAGAAUAGCCUGCUAUAUGUAUAGCACAAUGCCCUUUGCUCCUUGGUUAUUCUGAAUUACCCUGCACUGAACCUGGAUCCCUUACCAGCAAUCUCUGAGGUUUAACGUAAGCUCCCAGAGGCUAGCAUGGCCAGUAAAUUUCCAGCAACAUACAGCUAGGAAGGGUCAGCCCCAGCAUCAUCCGAGUGACACUCCAAACUCUAUUACAGUUGAAGAUGAAAAGAAUCUCACAGGUAAUAGUUGCAGUGGGUGCUCAAUACACUACACCUAAUUAUGUAAGUGGUUGCUUAGUUUUAACCAACUACUGUUCCCAGUUGUGGUGAUGAUCUUAGUAAGAUAUAAAUUAUAGGACUGGUCUCAGAUUGUUACAUCACAAUAGUCUCUCCUUUAAACUGAAUGGCAAAGAUUGGUGACUGCCCCAAAAUCUAGAUCUCUUAUUCAAAUGGCAUGUAGACAAACUUUUGAGCAAGGCCAACAUUACUUGGAAUAGUUAGAGUGGCUAUCAUAUAUCAACUUGCAGAUCCCAGGUAAAGUCUAUAGCUCUCAAAACAAGCAGCAACAGAUAUUUUCUAGCUUCGAAUUAACCUCUGUGGAACACCCUUUGAGUCUUUCAGUUACUUACCCACCUCUCUAAAUCUAUGGAAGUGCUAGCUGCCUCUUUCUUCCACAUCAUAAAUAUCUUCUUACAGCCAGUGGUGGGACAUGCUUUUAAUCCCCAGAAUUCAGGAGGUAGAGACAGGACAGAUGGAUUUCUUUGAGUUUAAGGCCACCCUGGUCUGCAGAGUUAGUUCCAAGAUAGCCAGAGCUACACAGUGAAACCCUGUUGAGAAACCUAGACAGACAGACAGACAGACAGACAGACAGACAGACAGAUAGAUAGAUAAUAAAUUGAUGAUAAGUAGGUAGGUAGGUAGAUAGGUAGAUAGAUAGAUAGAUAGAUAGAUAGAUAGAUAGAUAGAUAAUAAAUUGAUGAUAAGUAGGUAGGUAGGUAGAUAGAUAGAUAGAUAGAUAGAUAGAUAGAUAGAUAGAUAGAUAGAUAGAUAGAUGCUUUAAAAAGAGUGUCAGGAUGCUGCCUUUAACUGAAAGGGGCUGUUCCUUACUAAAAGUUCUCCUUUCCUUUUUAAAAAGCCAUCAUUUUUAGUCAGGGACUCUCCUGUCAAGGCUUAUUACAGAUUCUAGGACAAGGUCUAGUGACAGAGCUAGACCGUUCUUUCCUCAGGAUCCAAUCCUUCCUCCUUUGUUUUGUUUUGUUUUGUUUUGUUUUGUUUUGUUUUGUUUUGUUGUUUUUGUUUUUUUGAGGCAGGGUUUCUCUGUGUAGCCCUGGCUGUCUAGGAAUUCACAUUGUAGACCAGGACAGCCAGGACUAUANNNNNNNNNNNNNNNNNCCCCCCCCCCCCCCAAAAAAAAGAGAAGGGACCAGGAAGUUCCUGAACCCACAGGGCAUAGCCUAUUUCCCUAAAACAUGUUAUGGGUGUUAACUCCACAGAGAGAAAACACCCUACAGACAGCCGAGCUUCGGAGCAAAGAGUCCAUCGUCUUCCACGUUAGGUCUUAAGAUCUCUUGAACUGGGGGAAUCCCAGGAACCUCUGAGGCAGCACAGCACACGUUUCAGGUGUUUUAUUAGAUAGAUUUUCAAGUCAGCUAGCUCACUCAGACAUGUGGUCUCGGGUUUAAAAAUCGCCAAACUGCCAACCACCAAAGGCCUCCGAUUUUAUAGAUGAUCAGUUGUACCAAGUAACUUUCAUAUAACAUUAUAUUCAUAUAAUGUUCAAGGACCUUCAGUGUACUAAACCUAUGAAGUAGGUUCAUAGUCAAUCAGGCGGAAACCCAAACCGGGAACUUCAAUAAUUCGCAGUCACUGAGAGAAUGCAGGGCCUAGAUUCCCACCUGGAUUCUGAACAGCAAAGAAGUUGGGCGGAUUAGCAUAAUUAACAAAAACACCGGUACUCCAAUAAAUAAAGAGACAACCACAAGCACCCCAAGUAGCGGGGACUAUUGGAAAAAAAAAAAACAAAACAAAAAACACUACACCAACAGCAUAGGGAAGUCACUAUAGUCAGCCAAGAUAAGGCAGGCAAGUGGGAACUGUCGCACACACCCUUCCCCCAUUCAGAAGGAAAGGCAUCCCUGAAUUCUUAAAAUAACUCUAGCUUCCUCUUGGCCAAGGCGUUGGACUACUCCUCUGCGGGCUGACAGAAGUCGAGCUACGCGGGAGGUCAAGCUACAGCCUCUGUGGCAGCCGUUCGACGUCACCACCUUGCCUCGAGUCAACAGGGACCUCAGCUGUCAGCCAACCUUAGAGAGGGGCUGGGUUCAAACCCCCCUUCUCAUCCCUGGGGACUCAAGGUCCGAUCUGGACACUAAAUACUGGAUCCCAGAUGACUCCCUCUGGAAUCCCCACCGCGCUCCCUUUCGGAGUGGACUCAGGCCACUUCUCUCUGCCAGGCAAGAGAAGCUGGAGAGGGGCAUGGGAGAGACUUGACGCCAAGGACCCAGGGGCGCCCACCCUGUGCGCACUGCCCACCACGCCUCCGCGCCGCUCCGCUGCGGACACCUGCGGAGUCGCCGCCCCCGCGUCCCCGCUCGAUCGCCCCGGCGAGUCACAGUCUCCCAAGGCUGAAGGAGUCUAGAUGCUCUCGCCACCCGGGGCCAGCGCGAGCGCCACCAAGAAGCAGUGCGCGACCUCUGCUGCGGGCGCCGUGGCUGCACCGAAACCCGGAGUCCCAAGCCAAGAAAGCGACCUGUGAUCCGGUCUCUGACCCAGCCCCGGUCCCUGCCCGGUCCACCCUACGCACCCACCCUGCGCUCAAGCCCCGGACUUACUCGCUCGUGGUGGAAGUUUCGGGGCGGCGGAACUCCACGGUGACUUCGGUUAAAAGCUGUUCACGCGACGGGAUAGCCCUGCGGGGCCCGCCUGGGAAGCAGCUGCGGGCCGGUGUCUUAGGACGCGUGACCGGGACUUGCGGGCACACUGCUCGGGGAACAGUGCCCGGCCUGCAGCAACCUAUUAGCUGCAGAACGUUGGCCGGGAGGCGCCCAGGCCCGGCUCGGUGGGAGAGGAACUGGCUGUC
ensembl:lincRNA Gm26857 predicted gene, 26857